AAGAUGGAGACGGAGAGUGUGUGGGACAAGGAGAGACAGAGAAAGGAAAGUAUCCAGUGGAAAUGAGUGGAGAGACGGAUGACGAUGAGGGUGCAACAGGAGGUGAUGGCAGUGGAGAGACGGAUGACGACGAGGGUGCAACAGGAGGUGAUGGCCAGUAAAGAAAAAACAAAAGGGGUGAACGUGCUUUAACAGUGACUGGGUUAAACAGGAGAAGUACGCUAUGUGGCUAAAACCAUGCCCAGGUGAACGUGCUUUAACAGUG